rnacentral:rRNA from 1 species
GAUGAACGCUGGCGGCGUGCCUAAUACAUGCAAGUAGAACGCUGAAGGAGGAGCUUGCUCUUCUGGAUGAGUUGCGAACGGGUGAGUAACGCGUAGGUAACCUGCCUGGUAGCGGGGGAUAACUAUUGGAAACGAUAGCUAAUACCGCAUGACAACAGUUAUUGCAUGAUAACUGUUUAAAAGGGGCAACUGCUCCACUACCAGAUGGACCUGCGUUGUAUUAGCUAGUUGGUGAGGUAACGGCUCACCAAGGCGACGAUACAUAGCCGACCUGAGAGGGUGAUCGGCCACACUGGGACUGAGACACGGCCCAGACUCCUACGGGAGGCAGCAGUAGGGAAUCUUCGGCAAUGGACGGAAGUCUGACCGAGCAACGCCGCGUGAGUGAAGAAGGGUUUCGGAUCGUAAAGCUCUGUUGUAGGAGAAGAACGAGUGUGAGAGUGGAAAGUUCACACUGUGACGGUAUCUUACCAGAAAGGGACGGCUAACUACGUG